UGGGGAAUAUUGCGCAAUGGGGGAAACCCUGACGCAGCGACGCCGCGUGUGGGAUGAAGGUCUUCGGAUUGUAAACCACUGUCGCGAGGGACGAAGCUCUGACGGUACCUCGAAAGGAAGCACCGGCUAACUCUGUGCCAGCAGCCGCGGUAAUACAGAGGGUGCGAGCGUUGUCCGGAAUCACUGGGCGUAAAGGGCGCGUAGGCGGCCCGGUAAGUAGGGGGUGAAAUCUCAUGGCUCAACUGUGAGGCUGCCUUCUAGACUGCCAGGCUUGAGCACAGUAGAGGCGAGUGGAAUUCCCGGUGUAGCGGUGGAAUGCGUAGAGAUCGGGAAGAACAUCGGUGGCGAAGGCGGCUCGCUGGGCUGUUGCUGACGCUGAGGCGCGAAAGCGUGGGGAGCAAACAGGAUUAGAUACCCGUGUAGUCCCUGAGCGGGCUGGCAAGGCGCAU
rnacentral:rRNA from 1 species